ensembl:lncRNA
AACAUUAAAAAUGUUCUAUUUAUAUUUUCCAGCGAAACAUUUAUUUAUUUAUUUUUUUGGUUUAACUUGUUUUUUUACUCUUGGGCUUUAAGUCACCAAGAAUGGAUGAUUUCAUGACCAAAAAAUGGAUCACAGAAUCAACUCCACUUUGCCAGCUAGGAAUCAUCAAUAUCUGCCGUGUUUGUAUUAUAGAUGAAAUGCUCAGAAAAAAACAACAACUUUGUAUUGAAAUCACAAGGUAAAUAAUGUCAUGUGAACUCUGACUUUGCAGUUUUCAUUGGGUUAUUUUGCCCAGAAUAAGCCCUUGACCAGUGAUGGCUGAAUGAAUGAGAAAAGAAAGAGGUGAGGGGGUCCGUUUGCCAAGGCAGGUUGUCCCUGGGUCUGGAAGCUCAGCAUGCAGAGAGGGGUGGGUCUAUGCCAGAGCUGGGGAACUGAGCUCAGGGUCCCCUCCUGCUGGGAAGGAGUGGGGAUGGGUGAAAGGGUCCGUGUGCCAGGACGCCUGGGGCGGUUUGCUGUGUGUGUGGACAGGGGUAUGUGCAUCUACAGGUUAUUGUUUUCUUUACUUUGGGAGUUCCCUUUGUGGCUCAGUGGGUUAAGAACUUGGCCAGUAUCCAUGAGUAUGUGGGUUUUGAUGGGCUUGCUCAGUGGGUUAAGGAUCCUGUGUUGCCUCAAGCUGCAAUGUAGGUCACAGAUACGGCUCGGAGCCUGUGUUGCUGUGGCUGCGGUAUAGGCCAGCAGCUGCAGCUCUGAUUCGACCUCUAGUCCGAGAACUUAACAUAUGCCACAGGUGUGGCCGUAAAAAGAAAAAAGUGUACAGUUCUGUGUUUUUUCUUCUCUCUCUUUUUUUUUGGGGGGGGGGGCGCUGCACUUGUGGCAUAUGGAAGUUCCUAGGCUAGGGAACAGCUGCCAGCCUAUGCCACAGCCAUAGCAAUGUAGGAUUCGAGCCUCUUCUACGACCUAUACCAUAGCUCACGGCAACACCGGAUCCUUAACCUGCUGAUCAAGGCCAGGGAUUAAACCUGCAUCCUCAUGGAUACUAGUCAGGUUCUUAACCUGUGGAGCCACAAUGGGAACUCCUGUUUUUUUGUUUUGUUUUCUAUACUCAUCACCAAGAGGGGAACCUGAUACCCCUUAGCUCUCACUCCCAUUCCAUCCACCCUCCCCCAGCCCAUCUCUGCGGAGCUGCCUGCUCUGGACACGCAUGGACAUGGAAUCACAUCAAGGGAGUCCUUGUGUAAUGUUUUUGAGGUCUGAGUUACUUUUCACCCCUUCCUCGCCCUGCUUAGUUUUUCUUCCACUCACCACGCCCCAAGUCCUACUCACCAGGGCAAGUGGGAGAAGCACUCUGUCCAGGCGACGGACUGUUUCCAUUCAUCGUCUCUGAAGGUGUAAUCAGUAUGAAAAGCCCUGUAUUCCUGAAGCUCCACAGCAUCUGCUUUUAUUGCUUCAAUGCACUUCUUCGCAUCCCCCUACCCCCGCCCUGUUCUCGGAAGGUUGCACAGGGCAGGAGCUGGGCUUAAAGUCUGUCCUCCGUUGUGACCGUGACCGUGUGCUCUGCUGUGCUGUGUUCCAGCGGCCCUGGCCCCACCUUCCAGCUCUCCAGUUUACUUUUCAGCCAUAUCUAUUCCAGUAUUCAUUUUAUCUUUUGGGUUCUUGGACAACUACAUUUUUCAUUUCCUAGAUCUCCAGUUGAUUCUUUUUCAUAUCAGUAAUAUUAUCAUCCUCAGGAUAUUAUUAAUACUUUUAUUUUCCCCAAUUUUUCACUGUGAACAAGUUCAGAAAUGAAAAGUUGGAAGAAUAGCACAUGUAUACUAUACAUACUAUACAUACUAUACAUAGAUUUAACUGUUGUUCAUCUUUUGCUAUAUUUGCUGUAUCUUUGGGUGUAAUAUAAAUUUUUUUAUUUGAAAGUAAGUUGCCAAUAUCAUGAUGCUUCACUCCUGGAUACCUUGUCAUAAGACUUUUAAGAAUAAGCACAGUAUAUUAUCAAACUGUAGCAAAUCAGUGUUUCCGUAAUCAUCUACUGUCUAGUCCAUUUUUGAGUUUCCCCAUCUUCCUCCAAAAUGUCUUUUAUAGUGUUUUUCCCCUUGAACCAGAGUGCAGUGUGGGUUUAGUCUAGAACAAUGCGUCACUUAAUUUUUGAUGACAAUGAUUUUUUUGAGUCAAUUUCUGAAUUUUUCUCCCAUUUCUCAUGGUGUCUUUUCCAUUGUUCCUCUAUCCCUUACAUUUUCUGUAAACUGGAGACUGUGCUUCGAGGCUCAGUGAGACUUGCAAGAAAGGGUUUUGGCGAGAAUGAGUCAUGGGGAUGUUUGCACCCACAGUGCUGCCGAGCACGCGGCAUGUGACAUAGGUCCCCUACUGGGGAUGAGGCCAAGUUUGAUCUCCAUUCUGAUUUAUUGUUAAAGAUUCCUUUUUGCUCUCUUUGUUUCUUGGGGUUUCAUUUAAGGGACCUGGGCUUGAGCUGGCCUUUUCUGUCUGGAGCAGCAGACAAAUUGAGAUGAAAAGGGAAAAUGCCAGAAAAAUGCUUCUGUUGAGCAUAAUCUUUGUCGUUGGCUGGAAGUUUCCAUAUGACCCCCAGGGCAGAACCUGCCUGUUGGUGGGUUCAGGGUUUGUUCCAUGAGUACUCCCGUCUCCCAGGUGCUGUUUUGAGCACUGAUGAGAGAAAAGGUACCUGAGAGGCGUCUCUGUGCCCCAGGAGCUCAUGUUUGAUUGUGGGGACAGAUGUGCACAUGCCUGAGUGGCAUAGAUGCCAUCCAUGCUGAUGUUGCAGGGGUUGAAUUGCCAAACUGCGGCCUGACAAGCAUGUGAGUGGUUACUGUGGCAGUAGCAGGACCAGAUAUUUGAAGUUCAUUCUAUUCCUGAACGACAGAGCCUGCAGGUACCAUGCUGUCUCAGGGCAUGUGCUGGGUGCCUAGGGUACCAACGAGGCUUGGUCCUCUCCCAGGGGUCACAGAGGCAGUGGGUUUCAGCCUGGGCCCUCAAGGAGGACAGUUCCCAGUGAAUAGAUUUUGGGGCUCUGCUCCCAGCUGUGUUCGUGCACAGCCUUGGAGGCAGGAGGGGCCUGAUGUUCAUCUGAGGGCUGGAUGAGAUGCCUUUCAGUCGUGCUGGAAGGAGUGUGCUGGGCUGAGGAGGCAAAUGGUCAGCUUUGUCUGGUGUGGGGUGGGGGAGUCCAGGAGCUGCGGUCCCUGCCCUCACCCUCCCUGGGAGCACAGGGCUUCUGUGUCCCGCCUGGGUUCCCCAUUGUGCCUGAAGGGGCUGCGAGCAGGGAGGUGGCUCAGUGAGUCCCACCUUGGUUGUCAGCUCCCAGGGCCUUCUUGCUGCUGAGGGAGCCCAGGCUUCCCUCAGCCUCCACGGGCAGAGGCUGGGCCUUUCCCACCAGGACUUCAGGACAGGCUAACUGGUUCCUGUGGGUCGGGUAACUCAUCAAGUCAUUUGGUUUCAUGACCAAUGUCCGGGACACGGUGGAGGAGCAGUGCACACAGCAGAGGGCACAUGGCUUCGGAGUUGGACCACGCUCUCUGAUGCAGCGAGUCACCCACCGGGGCUGCCUAAGGAUGGAAAGCACUGUUGGGGAGCUCCGGCAGAGCCAGCCCCGAGGGUCUGAAAGCACAUCUACUACCUUUGCCCCAUGCUCCCACCACUGUCCCCAUGAUGCUGGAGAGGAAACGCAAGCACCAGGAAGCUACCUGACUGUCCUUGGUCCCUCAGCUGGUGGAACAGAAUAUGGGAAUAGAUCUCCCUUUCUCUUCCGUGGCUGUGGCCCUACAGGGAGAGCUGCAUGGUAGCAAGGGACACAGAAGCCCCUAAUGCUUAGAUCCUGAGCAACCAUGUUCAGGAACAGGAGGAACUUGGGCCCAGGAGUCUGUCUGCUGGCUUUACCUACAGUGCAGAGGUGCUGUUUUAUCAGGUCCAUGUGAUGUGCCCCUCCAAUGUGAUCCCGGGGCCAAGCUCUUCCCUGAGGGCCGAGGCAGGAGAAGGGACAGCGGCUAGCCAGGGAGUGGCUUGCAGACCACCUCCUGGUUCUGACUCCCCAUGUCCUGGGAAGCAACAAGCAGCAGCACAGAGACUUGUAUUUGGGGCCAUCUGACUAGUUUUCAGAGUUUUGUCUUGGGAACUCUUCUUUCCAAGGUUCUUUUCUGCCUUGAAGAAGCAAGGAACUUCCCACUGCUGGUGACAUCAGGCAGAAGAAAGUCUGUUCAAAUAAAAUCCUCUUCUCUUUCCAUUGGGAGGAAUGGUGCCAGACACAGGUUCUGGGGCCUGAACUGCCAACGGUGCUGUUUAUUUUAUUUAGCCUAAUAAGCAGAACUGACUUCCCAUGGGGGUACGUGGGAGCUCUGUCCAGAAGCCGUGGCCAGGAUUCCCUGGAAAGCAGCUCUCCGCCUUGGGCCUUGUUGCCUUCCCACUGGCCUCACUGCAGGACCUACCCUCAGCAGGUUUCCUUGUCCAGCACCUACUCAUCACCAGGGUUCGAAGGAAUGAGAUGGGGUCUUUCCAUUUCAGAGCCUGUUCUCGAUGGCAAAAGAUACCUGUUUCCACCAUGAGGCCUCUUUUGUUUGGCCUGCACAGUAGUGAUUUGCUUGUUUGCUUUUUAUUGAAUUUGCUUUAGACAGGUUAUCCUUUUCUGUCAUUUUAUUGCAUUUUAUGUUCCUUGCCUGGACCCCAAAGGCACCCAGGUUUGGGCCUCUUAACAUACUAUGUGCUGUGCUAUUAUAGAGACAAGACUAAAGGGCUGAGGGCCGAGGCCUUUGUGUCACGGGAGCCUGACCAGGUGACCUUGAACUGGGGUUCUGAAGGUUAGCUAGGAGUUCAUCAGAAGGUCAAGAUGAAUGCAGUCUUUCCUGGAAAAGAGAUAAUGACAAAAGGAUAAUGGCCCAUCAUGGGUGUGGUGACUCAGAGGAACUGUGUGAACUGGGAGUUGUCAGGUGUGGGCUUAGCAGGGAAAAUAGCCUCAUCGCUCACCUCGAGACGUGCUUCCCUGAUCGAGGCAGCCACCUGUAAGCUCAAGCCUGCUUGUCACCCAGACAAAGAAGGACCCAAAACCCAGGACUCCUCCUGCCUUGAUCCCCACCCCAGCACUGCCUGUUUGUAACUCACCUGACUAACCCCUGCAGAAGUGGGUGGGAGGCAGCCCCUCUCCCGGCUUUUGAGUCCUGGGAACCUUGUCCAUCCUGAGCGGGCCUCCCUCCUCCCCUCUGCGCCCUGAUGCUCCUGGAUGUCACUCUGGUUGUCAGCAGCUCAGAGGAUUUCCCCCACAGCCAGACGAGAGAGCCUGGCUGGGAAGGUCAGAGCAGCUGGCACUGUGCUGCUGGGAGGGGAGCGUUGGGUGAGGGCUCAGGUGUGAUGGCAGGGCAAAGUCCCCAUCUGCCUGUCCAGUGAGUGUUCGGGUGGAGAACUUCUGGCAGGUGGGGAAGGAGGAGGGCGCGGUGGUGGUUUCCACUGGGCAGGUGUUCUCCGGACUUGAAGGGGGUAGUUUAACGGUGCUUGUGUACUCUGGGUAGUGAAACGUUCGCUUUGGUGCAUCAGGAGGGAAAUCACCCAAAGGUGACCUUUCCUAGGCUGGUACCAGGCUGCUAGAGGGAGGCUAGGUGGGCCACGUAGCAGGCUCUGAGGGCAGACAGGUGCUCAUCCAUGCAGGGAAGACAGUCCAUCCAGACAGGUGCUGUAUGUGAAUCCAGCACCUUGGGCAGGGUGCUGGGCGUAUGCAGAAAGCCAGCCGGACACAGCCUUUACCUUCAAGAAACGCAAGUGAAGGAGGGGACAGUAAACAUUUAAGAGGUGCCUGUGUCAGGCCAGGUGCUGAAGAAAGUGAGGGGAGAGGAUGGUGCCCUUUAAGGCAGCGUGGUGGUCAAGGCCUGUCCAGAGCUGAUGUUUGCAUCUAGGUUGGGCAGGAUUGGCAGCGCCAGGUGCAUGUCUGGGAGAACAUUUCAGCCAGGGGUCUUGAGGCCUUGGAACGCUCAGGGCCAGCAAGGAGGCAGACCCUGGGAGCUUGGGGGGGUGUACCAGAGGCUGGAGGACAGAGGGGCUUGCGGGAUCUUAGCUGGGUUCUGGAAGCUCCAGGUUGGCUGCUGUAAGGACAAAGGACUGGGUGCCGGAGUGGCAGUCAGGGUGGGUGGAAGCUGUGUGCCACAUGCAGCAGGGGCAGAGGGGACCCCCAACCACUGGGCCUCUGCUGAGGACUGGGGCAGGGAGGCAGGUAGGCAGACAGGCAGAUGGGCUUGGACUCAGCAUGAAGCUGAGAUGCCUUCCUUGGCCAAUCACUGUGCCUCUAGACCACCUUUCUCCUGAUGCUGGGUGUGAGGCCUGCACCCACAGCCCCCACCACCACCACCUUCCCUGUAUCCAUGUGGUGGUUCUGCUCUGGCUUCUGCCGUGCCGUCCAGGUGAUGGCUCAGGAUGCUGCUGAUCUGCUCGCCUGGUACUCAGGUGGCCAGGGUGGCUGAUCAGACUCAUUAACCUUCUCUCAGUUUCCCUGGGGCCCUGCCAAGUGGCAGGCCUGGGCCUUCAGUGGAGGAGCCGUGCUUGGCCGUGGGGAAAUCAGGGUGCUCCUGGUCUGGGUUCUCUCAGCUCUCGGAACACAGCAUUUGGGUCAAGAGACAGGGCCACCUUUGCGAUCCCACAGCGGGACUGUCCUCCACCCCACAGCCAGGGACACUUUACAGUUAGAGCACGUGUCUUAGCCUGGGCUCCCCUGAGAACAGUCCGAGACAAGAAUCCACAGGAAGCUCCUGUGUUUCAAGGACAGAAGAGAGUCAAACAGAGAAGGGAGGGAUCGCUCUGGAGGCUGCAUCUCAGGUUGGCCUCCGUGGGAGGUGGGGCUUGAUCGGCCCUGCACCCCUGCCCCACACCGGCAUUGAGCUGUGGGCUGCCGAAUCCCUCUGCCUCAUGGGUCCCAAGUGCUUGGUAGUUUCUGGCAGGUCUCCUGGUCUAAGAUUGGAGAGGCUGCAGCGAUGGUGGGUACAGGGUGCUGCUGAGACAUGCAAAGUGGGAUAAGAAAGGCUCCCUACUUCAGAUGCUCUCCAGUGGCUUCCCUCGGCAGUGAGAAUAAAACCCACGCUCCCCGUCGGCCCCUGGGAGCCUCCCUGCUCUAGGCUCCGGCCCUUCCAACAGCUUCACCUUCUGGGGUGCUGCUUUUUCACCAUCUGGCCACACUGACCCUUGUGUCUCCAACUUAAUGAGCUUUGUCCUGCCUCUGGGCCUUUGCACUGUCCUCAGGACUGGCCUCAGCCCAGGUGCCACCUCCUGUGACUGCCCUCAGAUGUCCGCAUCCUGGGAACCCCUCCCACUACCUUCAUUUUCUCCAGAGUGGGCUCUGCUCCUCCUGCAAGCAUCCAGCUUGCCUCCUUGUCUGCCUCCUUUUUACUAGAAGGGAGCUAUUUCUGUGUCACUCCUGAAGCACCUCAGUCCCUCCAGCAGGGGCUGGUGGUGGCAGACACUCAGUCCACACCGAACAAAUGAAAAAUGUGGGGAGUUCCCGUCGUGGCACAGUGGUUAGCGAAUCCGGCUAGGAACCAUGAGGUUGCGGGUUCGGUCCCUGCCCUUGCUCAGUGGGUUAACGAUCCGGCGUUGCCAUGAGCUGUGGUGUAGGUCACAGAUGCAGCUCAGAUCCUGUGUUGCUAUGGCUCUGGCGUAGGCCGGUGGCUACAGCUCCGAUUCGACCCUUAGCCUGGGAACCUCCAUAUGCCGCGGGAGUGGCCCAAGAAAUGGCAA